GGGCGAGAUGGGAGAGGGAGGCGGCGAGGAGAAGGUGGGCGGGGAAGAGGAGGAAGGGCUGGAGAUGGAGGCUGACCUGCUCGGGCCGCCGGCGACUCCCGCCUCGUGCGUGGUCGCUGGAGUAGGUUGUCUCUCGAGGCAGCAGGUGGAGGGGAGGAAAACGCGAGACGAGCAGAUUCCGUGAGAUUUCCCACCUCUACAGCUCGGAAAC
rnacentral:lncRNA from 1 species